AUCUCGCCGCUCUCGCGGCCCUUUCUCUCCCCGCCAGCUCAUGCCUCGCCUCCGUGCGCCGCGCUCCUCGCCCUCGCUCUCGCUCGUGCAGUGACAUGUCACGCGCCGCCGCCUUCACCUCCUCCAACGGUCCAUUGACGAUGAAGACGGAAAGAGAGAGGGCGAGAGCUAGAGGGGAUGGGGAGAGGAAGGCACGCAGCGAGUUCCCCUCCUUCCUUCGUAGCAAUUGGUGCUUCCACCAGCAAGCUUUCUAUAACGUGGAGUGUCGCCGACCACGGCCGCAGCCUCCUUCCUCUGGAUUGGACUCCACUGGGAACUCCUCCGACAUAUCAAGUGUGCCUGUCCACCUUCUACCUCUGAGGCAAAGAUUGGAUCAAGCAAGCUGGAUCUGACUCAGCACCUUGAUCUGCUCAACAACCGGAGCCCCCACCUCCUUAUACAUCCCAAAGAUGGAUAUGCAUCUUCUGUAUUCAGUUAGGAUAAGGCUUCCAAGGUCUGCAUAAAGCAACCGUGAGACUCACAUGCUACAAAAUUUUGGUUUCACAUGAUGUUUAUGACUGAAAGUAAUGCAGUAUCAGGCAUGCAAAAAUAGAAGUUUAGUUGAUCUACUGGUGCUUCAUCUGCAAACACCAUGGAUCAGUUCAUGACAGCAUGACCAUAAGGUUGGGAGGGACAAGAACAAGGUGUCCAUUAAAGUUAUGGAGAUAAUGCUGUUCAGGCCGGUCCAGUGAAAAGAGAUUAAAGAGGAUUAAAUUGUUUGCAGGUCAACGUUUUAUUAGUUCAGUGCAAUCAUUCCCUGAUUGUCAUAUUUAGUCAUAAAUUGAUUGUACAUUUGUACAAAUCGUUGAAGUAGUUCUAUUUAGAUUUAUAGGUUGCAUUACUAUUUGAAAAUGUGUGGCACUUUAUCUAAGGGCCUGUUCAGAUUGAUGUCAUUUUCAACCAUACCAUUUUUGGGCAUAGUUGCCAAAAAUGUGGCUAUGUUUAGUUUGUUGCCAAAUUUUAGUAAAUACAUAAGAAAUCCUGUCAAAAUUUUGGCAAUAUUGCCAACUUACCAAAAUUUUGGUAUUGCUUACCAAAAUUUGCAAGGUUUAUUUUGGCUACAAUCUGAACAGGUCCUAAAAGUUGAUAUAUUCAGUACUAAGUUUACUAUUAUGUUGUUUUUUUGUUAGGACUACAAGAGAAUACAUUUGUGUAUUUGACGAAAACCCGAGUUUUGUGGUCCAUCAAGAUCUCACUAUUUUCUUUCCGAAUUGUCAAUGCAUGUGUCACUGCAAGCUGUUUGGUCGUCUAUAUAUGAUCAAAAGAUUUAUGUUGUGUUUAAUAUUGGAUUGUAAGAUUUUCUUAUGCCAUGUAUAUGUACACUUUACAACUAUAAAUGCCUUCAACAUGCAUCUCAGCUCA